rnacentral:rRNA from 1 species
GACGAACGCUGGCGGCGUGCUUAACACAUGCAAGUCGAACGCUGAAGACCUGGCUUUUGUUGGGUUGGAUGAGUGGCGAACGGGUGAGUAACACGUGAGUAACCUGCCCUCUUCUUUGGGAUAACGCCCGGAAACGGGUGCUAAUACUGGAUAUUCACUGGCCUUCGCAUGGGGGUUGGUGGAAAGGUGUGUUCUGGUGGGGGAUGGGCUCGCGGCCUAUCAGCUUGUUGGUGGGGUGAUGGCCUACCAAGGCUUUGACGGGUAGCCGGCCUGAGAGGGUGACCGGUCACAUUGGGACUGAGAUACGGCCCAGACUCCGACGGGAGGCAGCAGUGGGGAAUAUUGCACAAUGGGCGAAAGCCUGAUGCAGCGACGCCGCGUGAGGGAUGGAGGCCUUCGGGUUGGAAACCUCUUUCGCUCAUGGUCAAGCCGCAACUGUGGGUUGUGGUGAGGGUAGUGGGUAAAGAAGCGCCGGCUAACUACGUG